GAUUGAUGGUUCAGUGAGGCUUUCGGACUGGCCCAGGGAGGUCGGCAACGACCACCCAGGGCCGGAAAGUUAUCCAAACUCGAUCAUUUAGAGGAAGUAAAAGUCGUAACAAGGUCUCCGUUGGUGAACCAGCGGAGGGAUCAUU
rnacentral:rRNA from 1 species